AUUUGGAUUAGUGUGUUAGACUUUCUUCUGUUGCGCUACUUAAGUAUUUUCUUCAUUACUGACUUAUAUGUUUUAAGAAUAAAUAGUAAUGCUUGGAUUGAAGAAUGGACUGGAAAAUAUGGAGGAGCUUUGAUAACUUCAGGCAUGUAUCCUAACCACAAGCAAAAAUUUAGGUAGUUACUCCAUGUGGAAAACAUUAAGGACUCUCACGUCAGAAUUUCGUGACUAAAUUUGGAUUUUGGAAUUUCAAAUAUUUCAUCAGAAAGAAUGGAAUUUCAAAGGAAGCGAGAGCGAAAUCUUUUCGUUCAACGGGAAAAGUUCAACAUGAGAUAUCAUUAUGCAGAAUGUUUUUAGAAAUCGGUUAGAAAAAUUCAAAUUUCUCGAAUUCAUAAGGAAGUUGAAACAGCUGCGUUACAAAGAAAGUGCGUGAAAUAUGUUUAUGCAGUAAAAUCUGAAGCUAAACAUUCAUUUAAAUAAAAUCAU